AUGGCGUCGAGGCUUGAACAAAAUGUGAGAGCAAGUGCUCGUACACUGAGGGUAGCUAACACCUGUCUACAUGUUUGGGUUGUGAAUCUCCGCUGGGAUUUCAGUGUGGCGUCUGGGACAACGGGACUACGUGUGAAAAGUGUACAUCAUUCGCCUGAUGACUACCUUUCUGUGGUAAGGAUCGUGGACGCAUUCACGAGACCUUGCUGCCUGCCAUCAUCAAAUCAUAAUAAGAAAGAGGACAAUGGUGGUUAUCUUAUGAAUUCCUCCAAGGAGCUUGUGGUCCAAGGUUUUUGUAUCCUUGGGAAGCUCGCAAUCAGUGACAACAACUGCAGAGUCAUGCUCGACAUUCCAUAUCUACUCUCAACGAUCUUGGCGCCUAUGACCUCGGACCUACUCCACCAAGUCGAUCAGGCUGCCUGGUCCGACAUACUAGAAGGUUCACUCCAAGUGAUGGUCUACCUCACACAUGCUAAAGGACAGACCGGCACCAAGUUGCAUAUUGAAAUUUCAAAUUGUAAGGAAGUGAUCAGCACAAUGGAGAGAAUACUCAAGUGUGAAAAAUGCAAGGGAAAGAUGAAGAGACAAGUUACUUGGAUUCUCGCAAAACUACACAGCGAUACAUCUACCACCCUGGAGACUGCAAGCAGAGAAAAGUUUACCGAGAUGCUGGUACAUAUGAUGAUUGAUGAUAACUUUGAGGACAGCCUACGGUUGGAAGCAGUUCGCACACUGGCGCUUCUAUCUUACAAAAUUGAAAGAAGUGCCAUGUUUAUCAUGAUGGUAAAUGAUACUGUUGUCGAUAAUCUCACAACAAUGAUUCUUGGAAUGGGCACAUACAAAAUAAUGGCAAUGAAACUCAUUGAAGCUCUAUGUAUUCAUUACACCGACAAUGAUGAGAGUCUCAAAAAGCUACGGAAAGCCAUGAUCAAUGCAGUUCCAAAGAAAGAUGACCGGAUGGAAGAGUGUGUUGUGCCUUCAGUUCUAUCCUUUUGUGUCACAGCAUGCGACACACUGAAUGCAGAUCAAGACUUGGCUCAUCAGUUUUAUGCAGUUUCCCCAAGAGACGGAUCAUUAAGCUUUCCACGGAAUCUUAAGGAGAUUGUCAAAAGAAGUAUGCACCCCAGGGAAGAUUGCCUGAAAAUAGUGAAGCUUACCUGUGAGAUGGUCAUAUCAAUGAUGAAACACAGAGGCAGCUAUGUCAGGGAAGACCUGGAAGACUUGAUGGAUGCGCUUUCCAGUGCUUCAAAAGAGGUGCUUCUUCUUGAUGGCUCCAUGCUUUUUGACAUCAUGCUCGACGAGGAACUAACACCGGAGGCUUUCAGGAGUUGUGCUUCCCAUGUGAAAGAAGCACAAGAACUUGUAGACAAACGCAGUGUGCACUUAAGUCCGGACUUGCCAUUGGGGAACCCUGUUUAA
rnacentral:rRNA from 1 species